rnacentral:lncRNA from 10 species
CAGGCCAAGAGGUGAAGUUCUUGUUUAUUGUUGCAGCAACUCUUAUACAGACAUUAGCGUUCAGUUAAAUAAAGGAAGAUAGAUAGCACAGUAAAUACAUCACAACCCCAAACUGGAUGACUGUGGCCACGGGACGGAGGAGGGAGGGAGGGAGGGACCAGUGACCAGACUGUCAAGGAAGUACAUUCAGUGGGUGUGCGGUGUCCACAUUCCAGGCUCACGUGUAGAUAUAUUUUAUUUAUAUAUUUAUUUAUAUUUAUAUAUAGAUCAUUGAGUUUUGUGUAUACAAAGAACGAUAUUGUUACAAAUACAAUACUAUACUUCUCCCGACACUUUACAAUAAGCUCUAUUUCACCCUCUUUACAGAACAAUAGUACAAGUUCAUACUCUAGGUGCUGUGCUAAGUAUGUACAAGAAAUGUCAUUCCCACACAGUCCUCACACACUGCCUUGAUGGAGGGGAAGAAAGAUCGAGUUGUGUGCUCAAGUCAACCUAGGCCAGGGAAGGAGACACAUGAAACUCAAACCAACAGGUGGCCUGUGAAUGCGAGUAAACACAUCUAAGGAGGGGCGGCCCCUGGUUGCGGUGUUGAUGGGCAAUGUUCAGAAAGCAAACCCGUGAGGGGGAGGUGAACGUGGGAGUCCAACCCCAAAGCUGAGCCACCAGCACACCCUGGUGGAGCAGCCACAGCAGCUCUGUGCCCUCACAGCGUUUGGGAAGGCUGCCCUGUACAUAGCCUUCCCAUUACAUGGGGUAUUUAGAUAUUUACAUGUAUAACUAUAUAUACUGGGAUGACAGAAGGGAAGACCACCACUUCUCUUGGGACUUUCAAAAAAUCUAGCGACUUGCUUUUAAGACUGUGGCUGCUGAGGUGACCAUACCUAGGCUCACUCCCUUGCCCCAGUGGUAGUGGGAAAAAGAACCCACUUCAGCUGGGUGGACCUGUACCGAGCUCCAGCAACUUCCACUCACUGGGUGUGAAGACACACCUGGAUUAACACAAAAGAAUGUGGCAGAGAAAUCUUCUCACUCUAAUGUUACAAUGUCAGUCCUCUAGGAGAGCUUGCAGAAUUGGCUUUUUCAGCACCUCUCAAAGUUUACAAGGUUUUUGUGCAAUAGGAAUAGAAAGUAUAUUCUCUCCUUUAGGUGAACAUACAUAACCGUUAUGUGCAGGUUGUACAGGGAUGCACUACUGGAGUUCUGUCCCCUGGCCAGUCGUGGGCGGGCCUCUGUGGCACUGCCCAGGUGCCUAGGGACAGACAGGCAUGGGCCCCUACGAUGAUUUUCCAAGGCUCCUGAUGCCUGAAAUACCACCAGUAACACUUCAUUCCUGUUCUAUCCACUCUUAUUGGCAGAGGAAAGAUGAACUGGCUGAUGACUCUUUAGUGUCUCACUGUAUCACCAGAUACUCUACAGCAAAUGGAGAACCCUGGCCAUGGUUCCUUCCUGGUCCUCACGUUUGUGAUGGGUUGACCUUGAGGCUGGUCUCCCAGAAACAUUCUGUAAAGCAUCCUUCAAAGAAGUCCUGGGGAGCUUUACGGACCAUCCCAGAGCCCCUGGCCCCACCGGGUGCCACUCUCUGCAGCAGCAGAAGUCCCUUUCCCCCCAGGGCACCUGGGCAGCCAGCGGCCUCCCUUCCUCAGGGCUCCUUUGUAACACAGUGAAACUGAGAGUGCCACUGCUCGUUCCUGUCAAGCACUGAGCUUCCCUGAUUCUAAGCAGAAAACUCAGAAGAUGCAGAGAUCUCGGGGAAUUGAUCACAGAACUCUCUGGUUGAAGUCUCUUGUCCCUAAUCUUGUUAUAGUCACUUUGCUCCCUCCUUAGAAUCCCUCCAUUCUCUCUAUAAAUACAUGCUACCCACCAUUUGCUCACUGAGUUCCUAUUUCCAUAGACACAACAUAAAUAUCUCGGAUGCAGAGAACAGGGACUAUAUUAAUUACAAAAUAUAAUAGUUUCUCUUCCCCUGUCUCUACUGAGGUCAUGAAUGAAACAAAACAAAAGCAAAGCCAAAUCACACCUCACAUGAACACAAAAUGCUCUUUGGACCAAGUGAAAACUGGCUCAGAAUUAUAAUAUUACUAAAACAUCUACACUGAACUGAGACGGAAGCAUAAAUAUGAGGCACCUGAUGAAAACACGGAACAAUUCCACACCAGCCAAAAAUGCUCUCAGGCCCACAAGGCAGCAAGAGGGUGUUUAUGGACCACAUCUGGGGAUUCUGAGGCAUAACUUGAGGUUGCUAUUGUCUCCUUAAUUUUGUGGUUUAUGUACUAUUCUGGCCUUUCCAAUAUCACAUCCGCCUAGUGGCCCUGAGCAGAGAAGAAAGUUGGUCUUGCCUUGGGCCAGAAAACAAGACGCAAUUGCACCUGCAGCUUGCCUUCUUGGGAACAGUCCCUCCUUCCCAGACUCCUGGGAUGUGUGUUCGGCAGGGAGGGGAGUCCAGGAGGAGGAUGCUUUAAGCCAAAGUGGUGCUGGAGGGGCUGGGCCUCAGCGCAGAGAGGGCAGG